rnacentral:rRNA from 1 species
GAUGAACGCUGGCGGCGUGCCUAAUACAUGCAAGUCGAGCGAACGGACGAGAAGCUUGCUUCUCUGACGUUAGCGGCGGACGGGUGAGUAACACGUGGAUAACCUACCUAUAAGACUGGGAUAACUUCGGGAAACCGGAGCUAAUACCGGAUAAUAUUUUGAACCGCAUGGUUCAAAAGUGAAAGACGGUCUUGCUGUCACUUAUAGAUGGAUCCGCGCCGCAUUAGCUAGUUGGUAAGGUAACGGCUUACCAAGGCAACGAUGCAUAGCCGACCUGAGAGGGUGAAUCGGCCACCCUGAACUGAGAACCGGUCCAGACUCCCACCGGAGGGAGGCGGAGGGAAACUUCCGCCAUGGGCGGAAGCCUGGCGGGGGAACGCCGCGUGGGUGAUGAAGGUCUUCGGAUCGGAAAACUCUGUUAUUAAGGAAGAACAUAUGUGUAAGUUACUGUUCACAGCUUGACGGUUCCUAAUCAGAAAAGCACGGGUUACUACGGG